rnacentral:rRNA from 1 species
CCUACGGGUGGUCCUCCGUGAGUACUCUUGGUCACUGGGAGAGAUCCUGAACCAGCCAAGCCGCGUGAGGGAAGACGGCCCUAUGGGUUUUAAACCUCUUUUUUCUUCUCCCCCCCCCCUUUCCUUUUCCCGGCCUGCGUGUCUCCGCCGCCCCCGCCUCGGCUCCCUCCGUGCCCGCCGCCGCGGUCCUCCGGAGGCUGCGAGCGUUCUCCUGCUUUCUUUUGUUUAACGGGUGCGUAGGCGUUCCGUUAAGUCAGCGGUACCCUUGCGGGGCUCAACCCCGUCGCGCCGUUGCCCCUGGCAGACUUGAGUUGGCGAGAAGUACGCGGAAUGCGCGGUGUAGCGGUGAAAUGCAUAGAUAUCGCGCAGAACUCCGAGGGCGAAGGCAGCGUACCGGCGCCAGACUGACGCGGAGGCACGAAAGCGUGGGGAUCGAACAGGAUGAGAGACCCCAGUAGUC